rnacentral:rRNA from 1 species
UACGUAGGCAGCGAGCGUUGUUCGGAAUUACUGGGCGUAAAGAGUGUGUAGGCGGUGCUCUAAGUUCGGUGUGAAAUCUCCUGGCUCAACUGGGAGGGUGCGCCGGAAACUGGAGUGCUUGAGCGUGGGAGAGGAAAGCGGAAUUCCUGGUGUAGCGGUGAAAUGCGUAGAUAUCAGGAGGAACACCGGUGGCGAAGGCGGGUCUCUGGGCCGAAACUGACGCUGAGGAGCGAAAGCGUGGGGAGCAAACAGG